UACGUAGGGUCCGAGCGUUUGUCCGGAAUUACUGGGCGUAAAGAGCUCGUAGGUGGUUUGUCGCGUUGUUCGUGAAAACUCACAGCUCAACUGUGGGCGUGCGGGCGAUACGGGCAGACUUGAGUACUGCAGGGGAGACUGGAAUUCCUGGUGUAGCGGUGGAAUGCGCAGAUAUCAGGAGGAACACCGGUGGCGAAGGCGGGUCUCUGGGCAGUAACUGACGCUGAGGAGCGAAAGCGUGGGGAGCGAACAGG
rnacentral:rRNA from 1 species